rnacentral:lncRNA from 1 species
GUUUCUGAAUCGAACUGUUCUUGUUCGCAUCACGGGCAUCACCAGAGCCACCACAAUCAUUACUCGCCGUCGUCUCCGCUGUCGUUCUACACGUCUUUCUCGUCGUCUUCUUCGUCGGAGGAUUCGUCGUCGACGCCGUGCGUUUCUUCGUCGGAGGUUUACAGAGAGGCGGCGGGAGAUGAGAUUGAGAUCGACGGUGAUGACGAGAUUAGUACUCCUUGCCCUGCGACACCGUUUGUGUAAUGUGGAUUAAAAAGGUGUUUUCCUUGUUGUAUAAAUUGAAAAUUCUCUAGUGUUAGCUCCUUUUUAGAUCAAGGUUUAUCGCUAAUGACGAGUUUGACCAUAGACAUAAAUUUCCAAGUUAAAACAUUACGAGUCAACCUAAAUCCAUUUCAUAUUUCUAUCUAUUCGACAUUUGAGUAACAAUUUCAC